UGCCGACUACACCUCCUUCCAACACCACAACAGCUGCUCCUUCUACUACUACUACCAGUAGUACUACUACUAGUCCUACUACUCCUACUACUACUACUACUACUACUACUACUACUACUACUACUACUACUGCUGCUGCUGGCACCACUACUGCUACUACUGCCACCAAAACAUCUCCUGGAGGGAAUGGACAUUGUCUUUCACCAAGGAUUACUGCUCUGAUAGCUAUCUUAACUGUCCUCAUCUUCAUCACCAUUGUCCUAUUCUUCAUCUACAGAAAGCAACGUAAGCGCCACUAUCCUGUUGCUUCAAAACUCCAGUUGGUAAACGUGUCAUCUUGAGGAGAGGAUCAUCUCUGGACUAGUCUGUGAAUCCACAUGCUUCAAGAGAGAAGUGUGGAAAUCAGCUUCUGCCGAGCAGCCAUUCUGUGAUUCAGACACUUGACAUUUAUUCUCUCUCAAUGCUUCAAACAACCUGUCUGAUUAGCCAUAGUAAUUUACAGUGUUUACAUCGAUUCAUAUCCCUUUUUUUUUUUUUUUUACUUUAUAUCUCUUCCUAAAUUGCAGCUUAUCUUAAAAUAGUGGGAGAAACAAAAACAUUGUCUUGUGAAAAUAGUGCAUCUUUUAGUGCUUAAUUAACAAACAUCAUGUCUGCCUAGAAGGUUUUGACCUGUUGAAUUUGACAAAUAAAGCCCUAGUGGAUUAAACCCCUUAAUCUUAGUGUUCCAUAUUUAUGAACUAGACAAUAGCUUCUCUUGAAAAGUUCUGAAAUUAUUUCCUAACAAAGCGCAUAUCAUUCAAUAUAUGCAUCAAUGCAAAAACAAAAAAAACCCAAAUCUUUAUUCGUAGUAUGUUAAAUAGUUUUGUAUGUUUAACUUUUAUUUAUCAACUUUGUUAAUCCCAAAGAAGAAAAAACAUGCUGUUUAUACUUUAUAUGUUUUUUUUUUCCAAUGAGUUGUUGUAGAUGCUGAUUGCUGUGGGAAGGAGGGAUCUUCUAUAGCAGCCUCUGACUGAACACACUCUGUUGUAUGAAAGGCCAAUGAAGGCUAUUCUCAGGGUUGACCAUGAUAGUUUUCACUUUACCACAUAGUAUGAGGAAUAGCACCUUCUUUUUAUAAUCAAGGCUUCAGUAUUGAAAGGGAUCAAAUUGAAAUAGAUUUAUUAAAGCUUACUUCAAAGAUGUUUGCACUUCAUGUUUAUUAAAAUGAUAAUGUUAAUGUUUAUAUUUUUAUGGAGACAAUUGUAAAACUAUAGAAUUUCUUACUUCAAUUGAAAUAAUAUUACACAACAUCCUAUACAAGUAUUUUCUGCAUCUUGAUGGAUUGAUGGAUGUUGGAUGAUGGAUAGCUGUUUUCCUUUAAUAAAUGAAAUCCUAUGUAAGCAGCGUUGGAUUUAUGUUUUCUGAUUUUUUUUUUCACU